rnacentral:tRNA from 1 species
GCCGGGGUGGCCGAGUGGACAAGGCGUUGGCCUCGAGAGCCAAUGCCCGCUGAGCGGGCGCGUGGGUUCAAAUCCCACCCCCGGCGCCA